rnacentral:rRNA from 1 species
GACGAACGCUGGCGGCGUGCCUAAUACAUGCAAGUCGAACGAGAGCGACCGGUGCUUGCACUGGUCAAUCUAGUGGCGAACGGGUGAGUAACACGUGGGUAACCUGCCCAUCAGAGGGGGAUAACAUUCGGAAACGGAUGCUAAAACCGCAUAGGUCUUCGAACCGCAUGGUUUGAAGAGGAAAAGAGGCGCAAGCUUCUGCUGAUGGAUGGACCCGCGGUGCAUUAGCUAGUUGGUGAGGUAACGGCUCACCAAGGCCGUGAUGCAUAGCCGACCUGAGAGGGUGAUCGGCCACAUUGGGACUGAGACACGGCCCAAACUCCUACGGGAGGCAGCAGUAGGGAAUCUUCCGCAAUGGACGCAAGUCUGACGGAGCAACGCCGCGUGAGUGAAGAAGGUUUUCGGAUCGUAAAACUCUGUUGUUAGAGAAGAACAAGUGCUAGAGUAACUGUUAGCGCCUUGACGGUAUCUAACCAGAAAGCCACGGCUAACUACGUGCCAGCAGCCGCGGUAAUACGUAGGUGGCAAGCGUUGUCCGGAUUUAUUGGGCGUAAAGCGAGCGCAGGCGGUUCCUUAAGUCUGAUGUGAAAGCCCCCGGCUCAACCGAGGAGGGUCAUUGGAAACUGGGGAACUUGAGUGCAGAAGAGGAGAGUGGAAUUCCAUGUGUAGCGGUGAAAUGCGUAGAUAUAUGGAGGAACACCAGUGGCGAAGGCGACUCUCUGGUCUGUAACUGACGCUGAGGCUCGAAAGCGUGGGUAGCAAACAGG